CACGUGAACCAUUCUCCUUAACAAUCUUAAUUCCAAUGUCGUUCCCAUACUCCGUCCGGUAUGAGAGUGAAGCGGGCUGUCCCCAUACCCCGUCCGGUAUGAGCGCCAAAUGACCAAGUCUCCAUACCUCAUCUGGUAUGAGACAACGUUCACGGUAGGGUUCCCUAUGAACCGGUCCGUCCACCAUCUCUCAGGAUAUCUAGUGAAACUGUCA
rnacentral:lncRNA from 1 species